rnacentral:lncRNA from 1 species
UCUUCAAGGCCAUUUCUACUUCUCGGUGGGGAUUGUUCCUCUUCUUCUUCUUGUCUACUUCCUCUUCCACCACGGCGGCGGCGACGCUCUUCGGUUGUUGUUGUUGUUUCUUCCUCCUCUUGUCCUUCAUCUCCUCGUGUAUGUCUUCGCCGUGUUGUUCUCUUCCAUUCACUACCUCCUCUUCCUCUUCCUCUCUCUUCCUCCACCUCCUCUUCUUCAUGUCCUCCUCGGUGUCUUCUUGACUCGCGAGGUUCAUCUUCUUCUUCUUUCUCUUCUUCUUCUCUUUCCUCCCUUCGUUCACGUCGUCUUCUCUGGCGUGGUUCUUCUUUUUCUUCCUCUUCCUCCUCUUGUUCUUGCCACUUGGGGCUGAUAACUCCCAAACCUUCCUCCACUCUUAUGAUUUGUUUGAUUCGUUCAUUCGGAUUUUGAAGUUUGUGUACUGUAUCCUCGUCUAUGUUGAGAGCUUGAGAUAAAAACUGUGGGUCAAAUCCACUCAGUAUGUUGUUUUUUCCUUCUUGUUCCUCUUCUUUCUGGUGUUGUCCAUGCCUGCGUCCACUAGGUCUUUGAUGCUGCUGUCGCUGCUGCCUUUGUUGCUGGGUCUCUGGAUACUCUUCUUCUGGGUUACCAGCUAGAUAGAAUCUCUGCAAAGCCAAGUAAAUAUAAACUAAGUAACCAACUAAUCAAAAUAUAUAAACUACAUGUAUAUAAGAAGUUAGAGGUUAAUUUAUAUAAAGUAAUGAUGUUGAAAUCUGGUGUCACAUAUUUUAUUGACAUAAUUUUGGAUAAAAGAUCCAUGAUCAUGUUAUGUUUACAACUUCAUCACAAUAAAACACUGAUAUCACAAUAUUUAGUUGUGAAGUAUACUUACUCUUGGGUUUGGAUCAAGCUGGUUUGACAAGCUGGUAGUGUCAAGAAGAUUGAUAGCAACAAGUUGUUCAUCACCGUAGUUAUAAGUCCAGUAAGGGGUUCCAGGUGGAAUUACUAAGAUAUCACCUUCUCUGAAGUGACGAAUCUUCUGGUGACUAUCCUCUUGUUCCUGUGAUUGUGACCUUUGUCCUCUCCUACGUUCUUGUCUAGACUGUGAUUGUUGUGCUUCUUCAAAUGUUUCAGUACAUCCAGGAACUGAAAUUCCUAGGGCUCCCUCACCUGGAGUAUAUGCACAUGCAUAUGAGAGAGUAGUCACAAAUAAUCAAUAAAUGUAAUAAUGUAUCCUUUUAAACAAAAAUAUUGGACUCCUUUCAUAUGGGAGAUAAUUGAAGAGGAUCAAACGCUUCAUUAUAUGGUUAGUUUGCAAUUAUAUAUGAUGAUUAAAUUGGCUUCAUAAAAAUGGUGUAAUAAUGUAUAGGAAUGAAGGUUCAUACUUACCUUAAAAAAGUGCAAGCCUUGAUAAUUUACUUGAAAUUAUAAAAGUUAUAUCUUAGAUUUGGAUUAAAGCUAAAUUUGAUAUAUUUCUAUAUUUCUUUCUUGACUAUUGAAAUUCAAAUCCUUUGAUCAGAGAAAAAAAACAUCUAACAAUUAAGAAAGAGAGGAUAAUGUAUACCAUUUCAUAUACUAUAUACUUAUCAUUAGUAAGUUUUAGUUUUAUAUUUUAUAGAAAUAAUCAAUAAUCGGAUAUCAGUACAGACUUAUAUCAUUAAUAUAUAGAGAUAAGAAAGAAGGAAAUAAGAAAGAAGGAAAUAUUAUAUAAAGAUGUUGUGUUCGAAUAUAUCUGACCUUGAACAAUCAUAAUGAUCUGUGGAUAAUUAGUGUAGGAUGGCAAGUGUAAUCCCUUUGGCUCAAUGGUAUGUUUUUCAAAUGCAACACCAGCACAACGUAGCUCAGGUUUAUUUGAGUUCCAUGUCUCAGUAACACCACCUUCUGACUCAAUCCUAUUAUCAGGUUCCAAAGCAUUGAGUCUAUCCAAUUGACACUCAUUGAACCUAUCUAGCCCUUCACCUAAACAUGCACUCGUGUAUAACAACACUAAGCAAAGGGAUAAAGAGAGUAGAAAAGGGUUAGCCAUUGUGAAACAGUAAUAGUUGAGUGAAGUUGGUGAAGCGGAGAAACUAAACUGUGGGUAUUUAUAUGGAAGAGUGGAGUGUGAAUGAAGGACACGUAAUGAAAGUGUGUUAUUGAGGUGUUGACAUUCUUCAACAUGCAUGGCUAUAUAAACCUCAUGUUGUUACACCUCAUAAGUGCUGUGGGCGCAGGUGCCUUCACGUUUCAUAUAAUCAUCCAAGGAAUGGAAUUGUUUGCACCCCUUCUUUCAUGAGUUUUCAUUAUUUAAUAACAUCUAUAAUACUAAGGGUUUAGAUUUAGAGAAAACAAUGUAUAACUGUCAUAAAAUAAAUAGAAGAACACAAAAGAAUUUCGUAACCAAGUUGAGCCAAAUGUGUUUCCGUUCUCGAGAAACGUACUACCAAUAUAUUAUUAAAAAAUAAUGAUUAUAAGUUCUAGCAUACCCUUAAGUCCAAGUUCCUAUUAGGUGUUUCUAUUUGGACAUAUUAUAACAAGUGACUUGAGUUUAAUAUAUAAGAUUGUUCACUUUACUCUAUUCCAAUACUAGAUAAUGUAGGACUAAUACACUAACAUAUUUCAAGCAUUCCAAUACAUCCACCAUUUAUAUUUAAUUAUCACAUUGUCUCAUAAAAAAUAAUGUAAAUGAAUGAUAGAUGUUGUACUGACUUUGUAUAAAUCUUGAGAAAAAUAUAAAUGUAGUGACAUUGUGUAAGAUUUAUAUAUUGUUAAUACAUCAUCCAUAUUUUAUCGUUAUUGACUUUUCAAAAAAAUAAAUAACACAAAUGAAUGAUGAAUAAUAUAUUAACUGUAUCUAAAUCUUUAUACCGACAAUACAUAAAUAUUGCACUCAUAAAUCUUUAUUGUCAAAAUUAAAUAUUUUAUAGAAUCACAAAUUCCUUUUUUUUCUUAUAUUUUAGGACCGAUCUCUUUUCUUCUUUCACAUAUUGGCUCUCUGGACAUGACUAAAUUAGGAAGGUCUACAUAUAAUCUUCUCUAGAAGUGUCAAAACAUACUACUUGGACGAGUUUCGACUAGUUCACAUAAUGUUCGGGUUAAAUUGAACUGAGCUAAAAAUUCCAGGUACAAUUUAUGUAUAUCAAAUUGCAGCCUAAACUCUUGUUAAGCAAGUUACAGGUUGUGACGGACCAACCCGUAUAAUAUUAAAAAAAUACUUAUUUAAAUUUUAAGUGAUUAAAUCUAUUUUUUUAAAUAUAUAUUAAUUGAUAUUUGUGUAUAAACUUAUUAAUAUACUUGUUAUGUCCAAGUCAACCAAACUCAUAUAUUUAAUGCUUUAUGUUUGAGUUAAGACGUGAUAUCAAGUUCACUUGUAUAAUUUUUAAUAUAACCUAUUUAUUAAUUUUCUUAUCUUAUUAGACUCUCACUUCCUUUGCAAUGUAAUUUGUAACUCCACUUUAUUAAUAUGCAAACCUUUGGAAACUAUCAAAAAGAAUUUUAUGUUAAUUUUAAUAAUGGUAGUAUAGACUUAAGUUCAGAAGAAAUGCUAUAUGUUAAAGUAUAAUCACCAUCGUAAUAUAUUAUCAUCAUUCUAUAUUUUGUAUAUGAUGAUAAUUUGUAUGUUCAUUAUCAACAUCUUCAUUGUGAACUGAUACAAAUUAAAUUUGGUCGUGUAGAGUUUUCAAUAUUAAACAAGUAUGAUGUCUUUUAGUUUAAAUACAAUUAAAUACACAAUUAAAAAAGAAAACAUGAAAUCCAUAUGAUUUAAUGUUUCUUCUCAUUUGAUUUGAUAUAUUACUUUCUUCUUGUGCUUAAAAGGACAAUAUGCAAAAUAGGAUAAAUAAUAUAAUGUUUUACUUUAUAACAUUAUUAUAAUUUAUAAAUAUUAAUGUUAAAAAAAUUAAUCUAUUUUUCAAAGCUCAUAACACUAAUAUUUAUUAUAAGUUUAUGUUAUUAUUAUGUUGUAAAACAAUUUUCACCUAAGACUUAUUACCAAGCCAAAAGUCCUAAAAAAGAAGAAAAAGGAAAAAUGGGUAGCCAGAACCCACUGAGGCAAGCCAAUCUAAACCAUGUUGUAAUAUAGCUCGGUCAGUCCAGGUUAAAAAGUUCAAAUUCAAUAAAAAGUACCUAAUAUGUUACCAAGUCCUAUGAAUCUUCUAAUUGUGGUGACAUUUUGGGCUUUAGCGGAUCGAAAAAAGAAAGGUCACCACAAAUUAGAAGUUAGAGAUUUGAACAACAUAUCAAAGUAAGAGUUUCUAUUUCAUACAAAGACAGAGUCUAGGCUUCAAAUGUUAAUUCAUUGCCUUCAAAUGUUGUUACACUUGUUAGCUGAUUGAUUUUUUAUAUAGCCUUUAUUAUUUUCUAUUGCACUAUUUCUAUUGUGCAUUUCAUUUUUUUACAUUAUCUAUUUAACAAUGUUUCAAUUUCAUUGUUUUUAUUCAUUGCCUUCAAACAUUGUUUGUCUUUAUUCUUUACUUGUUUCAUUAUUUCCAUUUCAUUGUUUCCAUUGUUUGUUUAACAUUUUUCUAUUUUGUUGUUUCUAUUUAUUGCCUUCAAACAAUAUUUCGUUGUCUUUAUUCUUUGUUUUCUUCAUUAUUUAUAUUAUGUUUCAUUAUAACUAUUCACUCGUUAACUUUUUGUGAUUUGUAAUUUUAUUGUUACUAUUUUGCUUUGCUUCUAUUAUAUUAUAUUCUAUUUUCCAUAUUAUGUUUCACAUUUUUGGCUAGGAAUUUUAUUGUGUUACUUUCUAAAUGCAGGAGGACUACAAGGAUAAUGGAAAAAAAUAGACAGACAAUUUCAUCAAAAGAACAAUUAUCAAUCAUUGAUAUCUUCUGAACCAAGUCCCCGAGACAAAGGAUUGUGCUUCAUUUAGAAGAAUUGUCAUCAAAUCUAGGGGUGAGCAUGACCCGACCCUAUCCACUUAUCCAGUAUGGUCCAAUCAUGAUCGAGCCUGAAAACGGCCGGGUCUCAUCGAGUCUAGAACCGAGUUUGGAUUAAAAUUUUUGAUACAUUAAAUAUUUACGGUCUGGUAGGGACCAAGCAUGACCCAACCUGACCCAUUUCAUGGUUACUCAGUCAUCGUGUUCAUAUGUGUCUGUAUUCAAUUAUGCACAGAGUAAUGACACAUUUUUAGUAGAGAGUAUCAUUGAUUCUCUAAUUUUUUAUCAUAUAUACAUGAUUAAUAAUAUUUAUAUAUAUCAUUUUAUAUGUCAAAUUACAUAUUCAUAAUAACAAGACUGAGGCAAGCCAAUCUAAACCAUGUUGUAAUAUAGCUCGGUCAGUCCAGGUUAAAAAGUUCAAAUUCAAUAAAAAGUACCUAAUAUGUUACCAAGUCCUAUGAAUCUUCUAAUUGUGGUGACAUUUUGGGCUUUAGCGGAUCGAAAAAAGAAAGGUCACCACAAAUUAGAAGUUAGAGAUUUGAACAACAUAUCAAAGUAAGAGUUUCUAUUUCAUACAAAGACAGAGUCUAGGCUUCAAAUGUUAAUUCAUUGCCUUCAAAUGUUGUUACACUUGUUAGCUGAUUGAUUUUUUAUAUAGCCUUUAUUAUUUUCUAUUGCACUAUUUCUAUUGUGCAUUUCAUUUUUUUACAUUAUCUAUUUAACAAUGUUUCAAUUUCAUUGUUUUUAUUCAUUGCCUUCAAACAUUGUUUGUCUUUAUUCUUUACUUGUUUCAUUAUUUCCAUUUCAUUGUUUCCAUUGUUUGUUUAACAUUUUUCUAUUUUGUUGUUUCUAUUUAUUGCCUUCAAACAAUAUUUCGUUGUCUUUAUUCUUUGUUUUCUUCAUUAUUUAUAUUAUGUUUCAUUAUAACUAUUCACUCGUUAACUUUUUGUGAUUUGUAAUUUUAUUGUUACUAUUUUGCUUUGCUUCUAUUAUAUUAUAUUCUAUUUUCCAUAUUAUGUUUCACAUUUUUGGCUAGGAAUUUUAUUGUGUUACUUUCUAAAUGCAGGAGGACUACAAGGAUAAUGGAAAAAAAUAGACAGACAAUUUCAUCAAAAGAACAAUUAUCAAUCAUUGAUAUCUUCUGAACCAAGUCCCCGAGACAAAGGAUUGUGCUUCAUUUAGAAGAAUUGUCAUCAAAUCUAGGGGUGAGCAUGACCCGACCCUAUCCACUUAUCCAGUAUGGUCCAAUCAUGAUCGAGCCUGAAAACGGCCGGGUCUCAUCGAGUCUAGAACCGAGUUUGGAUUAAAAUUUUUGAUACAUUAAAUAUUUACGGUCUGGUAGGGACCAAGCAUGACCCAACCUGACCCAUUUCAUGGUUACUCAGUCAUCGUGUUCAUAUGUGUCUGUAUUCAAUUAUGCACAGAGUAAUGACACAUUUUUAGUAGAGAGUAUCAUUGAUUCUCUAAUUUUUUAUCAUAUAUACAUGAUUAAUAAUAUUUAUAUAUAUCAUUUUAUAUGUCAAAUUACAUAUUCAUAAUAACAAGUAAUAUUAAGAAAACUUUAUCUAAAAUGAGUAUGCAUUAUAUUUAAUCGGGUCUAGGAUUGAGUUCUGGUUUAAAGGUUGACUCACUCGAUAUUUAGGGUUGGGUUAACUUUGGUCUAGGGCCGAAUCUUGGUUUAAAAAAUGACUCAACCAAGUUUUAGGGCCAGGUAAGGGACAAGCCUUAACCCGACCCAUGCUUACCCCUAAUCAGAUCGACGAAAAAUAAUUAAAAUUGUGUAAUAUCAUCAUUAUGAUCAAGAUAAGAUUCGAAGAGUAUAUUUAAAAAGAGAACCAUGUCAACCUACACAACAUAAUUUCCCUAAAAAAAAUUUGAAAUUCUUUAAGAAGAUUUGUCAUUCUUGGUUUAAUGAAUUUGGCAAGUGGUAAAAGUACAGUUUAGAAAAAUAUGAUAUAUUUUGCUUGUAUUGUUAUCUUUUUAAGCCUGAUUUUGGAAAGCAAUCUCGUGGUGACAUAUUUGUGAUAGAAGGAUUCAAACUUUGGAAUAAUAAACAUAAGCACUCAGAUCAUAUUGGAGGUCCUAAUAUUGCUCAUAAUAUUGUGUGUAAGAAUUCUCAAGACUUGUUGAAUCAAAAUCGACAAACUGGAGCUGCAAUAGUUAAGGAAUCCGAUCAAGCUCAUGACAUAUAAUGAAGGUGUUUAACAACGUCAGUUGAUUCAAUUCACUUUCUAUUGAAGUAAGGAUUAUAUUUUCAUGGUUAUGAUGAAUUAAUCGAUUAUGCUAAAUGAGGUAAUUUUCUUGAACAUCCUAAGUUUCUUUAUGAACUUAAUGGAGAAAUAAAUCAUGUCGUCUUGUAAAAUGGUCCUCAAAACCAUCAAUUAAUUUCUACAACUAUCCAAAAGGAUAUUAUUAAUGUUGCUGCAAUAGAAACCAUUAGGGUUAUUAUCACUGACCUAGGAGAUCAACCAUUUCCUAUUAUGGGUGAUGAAGCGCGUGAUGCAUCAAUUAACAUUCAAAUGACUGUUGCUUUGUGUUAUGUUAACUAUUAAACAUACACACACACAAGCAGCCUAGCCAAUCAACCUCUCAAUCCAGUCAACAUAAUAACAAGGCCAAGACCAAACACAAGCCACUUGAUCAAGAGGCGAAGGCCAAGUCAUCUGUUGAUCAAGAGGCCAAGACCAAAUAUAAGCCACCUGAUCAAGUGGUCAAGGCCAAGGACAAGUCAUAUGCUGAAGACAUUAAGGAAUCCGAUCAAGCAAGUGGCACAAGCACAUGAUUAUAAGUCCAGUCCAAAACAUGCGCUUAGUUACUUAGUUCACAACUCAACUUAUUUUGGUUUGUUAUCUAGCUUUUAAGCAUGUGUUGUUUUACUGAUUGGUUAGUUUUAGUGUUUAUUAGGAUUAGUUAGGACCCUUUGUAUCUCUCUUGAGUCUAUAUAAAAGAGGACACUAUGCUUCUAUUGAAUAUCAAGAAUGUAAAAACUACAUUGUAAAAAUAUGCCAUUGAUUAAUGAAGAAUAAAGUAUGAGGUAUUUUUCUGCAAAAAAAGUAAUAUGAUAUCAAAGCCUUCUUUUUGAAGGUUCUGGUUUACCUUUUGUUGUGCAUUCUUCCUUACUCAUCUUCAAUCUAAGUUUUCUUUCUCUUCUAUUCAAACAACCAACAAAUGGCAAAAAGUGUUGAGCUGGAAAGAGAUCUACAUGCUGCUUUGAGCAACAUCUAUGAUAUACAAAGCCCUUAUUGUCUACACCCUGGAGAAAAUCCAGAGGCAAUCCUAGUUCCCCCCUAUUAGAUGGCAGAAAUUACCAGUCCUGGAGUAGAAUAAUGAGGAGAACAUUGCUCUCAAAGAACAAGUUCAAGUUUCUAGAUGGAUCUAUACCAGCAACACGCAGAACAAAUCCCAACUUUGAUAUAUAGGAACGUUGCAAUACAAUGUUGAUCUCUUUGAUCACAAGGAGCCUAACACGUCAAAUAUCCCAAAACAUUAUGUACAUUGACAAUGCAAGGGAAUUAUGGUGAGACUUGAGAGAAAUAUUUUCAAAGGGUGACUAUUUCAUAUUCUCAAACCUGCUCCAUGAACUCCACUCAAUCAAACAAGGUGACAAAAGUAUUUCCAACUACUACACUGACUUGAAAACCAUAUGGGAUGAACUUGAUUUUAACACAAAAUAUGUCGUAUGCUUCCUCAAUGGUUUAAAUGAUGAAUUCAAUGCUACAAGGUCCCAAAUUCUCAAGAUGGAGCCAUUUCUCAGUAUGAACAAAGCCUUCUCAUUACUUGUUUAGCAACAAGGACAACUAGCUGAGGAAAAUCCACAAAACUCUAAGAUCUUCUUCAAUUCAAUAAGCAACAAACAACAAACAAAUCAAGAUGAUGAAAUGCAGAAUUGGAAUCCCAGAAUCAAUAAUAUGAGGGGAGGUACUUCACAAAGCAGAAUCAGAGGCAGUGCAAGAAACUUUGGUGCAGACAGGACCAAUGGAGUUAAGGUCUCACAUUCUGUGGCAAAGAAAGGCAUACAAUAGAAACAUGUUAUUUUAAGCAUGGUUUCCCUCCUAAUUACCAACAAGGGAAUCAAAGAUAAACUAAUACAAUUAUCAACAAUAUUGUUGUAAUUGAUCACAAGGAACCUUAGUCCCAAGCAACAGAAGGUGGUAUUUCAGGAUUCAAGUUUGGCCUCAAGGACUAUGCACAAUUAUCAUCACUUCUGAAAAAUAUUGGGUCUUCCAAAGACAAUCACAACAUCAACCAACUAAGCAUGCACCCAACACUAGUAGCUGAAUCUCAAAACAUUGCUAACAGUGAGGACAUCUCAUGUAACACAUCUUUCUGGAUACUAGACACAGGGGCCACAUGCCAUGUGUGCCCUAAUUUAGGUAAAUUUGACACUUUCUACAAUGUUAAGCCUAUUACUACAAACAUGCCAAAUGGUUCAAUAACAUUGGCAAGACUCUGUGGAUAUGUUAGUUUCUCUGAUUCCUUGAUAUUGCAUAAUAUGUUGUAUAUUCCCGACUUCAAAUUUAACUUAAUUUCCAUCCAUAAGCUGACUAAUUCUAUGCAUUGUGCUCUAACCUUUGAUGAAUUGAAAUGUUCCAUCCAUGAUAUGAAUACUUGGAAGAUGUUUGGACAUGUUGAAGUUAGAAAUAACUUGUAUAUUUUUAGGAGAAAAAUUAAUAAUGCCACAAAUUUAUAACACAAUGUAAAUACACUUUAUGUUGAUUUUGAUUUUGACUUAUGACACUAUAGAAUGAGACAUUCAUCACCUAAUGUUUUGAAUUUUGUAUGCAAAAAAUAUUCCUUUGUUCAUUUCAAUUCUGCAACAAUAUGUGAUUCUUAUCAUUUUGGUAAAAAAGCUAGGCUGGCCUUUCAUUGCAGCAUGAUGAGUACAUAAAGUACCACAUCUCCCUAUAAGAUCCAACAUCUUCUCUCAGUUGUCAUAUCAUACCAAUCCAUCCCCACUAAUCACCGUAGCCACCUUAUCUCUAUCACUAUAACUAUAGAGCCAAAGCAUUACAACCAAGCUAUUAACUCAUAACAUUGGAUAUGGGCAAUGCGAAAUGAACUCAAUGCACUUGGGUUAAAUAAGACCUUGACCCUUGUUGACUUGUCUCCCAACAAAAACCCUAUAGGAUGCAAAUGGGUGUAUAAGGUCAAGCAUAAAUUAGAUGGAUCUAUAUAGAGAUAUAAGGCUAGGUUAGUGGCAAAUGGCUUAAAUCAAACAGAGAAGAUAGACUUAUUUGACACUUUUGCUCCUAUUGUGAAACUCACAACAAUGAGACUAUUACUUGCCAUAGCCUCUUCCCAAAAUUGGCUUGUCCAUCAACUUGAUGUGAACAAUGCCUUUUUCCAUGGGGACCUCACAAAAGAUGUCUAUAUGACCAUACCAAAAGGUGUGAUAUGCAACAAUCCUAACCAAGUUUGCAAGUUACAUAAAUCCCUUUAUGGCCUCAAGCAAUAUGGAAGACAAUGGUUCACAAAACUCACCAAUUCCCUGACCUCCUUUGGCUAUAACCAGUCACAUUAUGAACAUUUCUUGUUCACCAAGAAACAAGGACUACACUCCACAACAUUACUCAUAAAUGUUGAUGACUUAGUUCUACCUAGAAAUGACAGCCUUGGGAUCCAACAUGUCAAGCAUCACCUGAAUAACCAAUUCAGGAUUAAAGAUCUAGGUACUUUGAAAUAUUUCCCAGGCAUAGAAUUUGCUAGGACUAAGACUAGUAUUUCAAUUUCACAAAGGAAAUAUGCAUUGGAUAUUUUUUAUGAUACAAGCUUUCUAGCUUCAAAGUUUGCACCCACUCCUAUAGUUAAGACUACCAAACUUCAGAAUGACAAUACUUUGCAUUAUGAUAACCCUUCUUCCUAUAGAAGAUUAAUAGGUAGGCUAUUAUACCUCACUAAUACUAGACGUGAUAUAAGUUUUGAUGUAUAACAAUUGAGCCAGUUUAUGGCUCAACCUACUGUUAUUCAUUAUAAAGGCUUAACCAUGGUGCUCAGAUACAUAAAGUCCAACCCAGGCUAAAGGUUACUCUAUCAUGCUUCAUCCAACCUACAACUUAAAGCCUUCAGUGAUUCAGAUUAGGCAACCUGCAUAGACUUAAGUAAAUCAAUUAGUGGAUGUUGUAUCUUUCUAGGAAAUUCAUUUGUGUCUUGGAAUUCCAAGAAGCAAAACACAGUAUCAAGAUCCUCUUCUGAAGCAAAGUAUAGAGCACUAGCAUAAGCUUCUUGUGAAAUUCAAUUGCUGACAUACCUUCUUCUCAACUUCAAGGUCCAUGUCACCCGACCAACUUUGUUAUAUUAUGACAAUGACUCUGCUAGGUACAUUGUUGUCAACCUAGUCUUCCAUGAGAGGACCAAGCAAAUAGACAUUGAUUUCCAUGUUGUACGAGAACACCUUGAAGCCAAACUAUUUCACCUUAUCCCUAUUUCAACCAAUCAACAAACUGCAGAUAUACUAACCAAACCCCUUGACCAUUAUUCAUUUCAUUACCUACUUGCCAAGCUUGGAGUAUUUAACAUUUACUCUCCAAUUUGCGAGAGGGGGACUAAAUACACACACACAUAAGCAACCUAGCCAACCAACCUCUCAAUCCAAGCAACAUAAUAACAAGGCCAAUACCAACCACAAGCCACCUAAUCAAGAGGCCAAGGACAAGUCAUCUAUUGAUCAAGAGUCUAAGACCAAGACCAAAUAUAAGCCACUUGAUCAAGAGGCCAAGGCCAAGGACAAGUCAUCUGCUCAAGACAUUAAAGAAGCUGAUCAAGCAGUGGCACAAGCACGUGAUAAUAAGUUCAUUCCAAAAACAUGUGCUUAGUUACUUAGUUCACAAGACAACUUAUUUUGGUUUGUUAUCUAGCUUUUAAACAUGUGUUGUUUUAAUGAUUGGUUAGAUUUAGUGUUUGUUAGGAGUAUUUUCUUCUCUCUUGAGUCUUUAUAAAAAAGGGCACUAUGCUUCUCUUGAAUAUCAAGAAAGUAAAAACUACAUUGUAACAAUAUGCCAUUGAUCAAAGAAGAAGAUAAUAUGAGGUAUUUUUAUAUUAUGGAUGAUGAAGCGCGUGAUGCAUCAAUUAACAAACAAAUGGAUGUUGCUUUGUGUUAUGUUAACAAAAAUGGAAGUGUUUUUCAAUAAUUUUUUGAUAUUUUUCAUGUUAAAGAUACUACAGCUUUAUCAUUGAAAAUGACAAUUGAUGAUUUGUUUAGUAAACAUGGGCUUGAUGUAUUAAGAAUUUGUGAGCAAUGUUAUGAUGGUUCUAAUAACAUGCAAGGAGAAUUUUAUUGUCUCAAAAGUUUGAUUUUAAGGGUGAAUUCAUGUACUUUUUAUGUAUAUUGUUUUGCUCAUCAAUUAUAAUUGACAUUAGUUGUUGUUGCUAAAAAUCACAUUGAUAUUGCAUAUCUUUUUAGUUUAGUAUCCACAUUAUGAAAUAUUGUUUGAGGGUCAUGCAAACGACAUGACAUGCUUUGCGAAAAACAAAUAAUCAAUGUUUGAGAGCGACAUUGGAAAAGGUGAAAUUCUAAGUGGACAAGGUUUGAAUCUAGAAACUAGUCUAGAGCGAGCUACACACCGUUGGGAUUUACAUUAUGCAACUUUGAUAAAGUUUAUAUUGAUGUAUUAUACUAUAUGAGAUGUUAUUGAAAUUAUUAGAGAAUUUGGAUCAACUCUGAAAAAAAGACUUGAAGCCAAAGGUAUUUUAGGCUUGACAAAUGAUUCAAAUGAACUGUCACAAACAUUGCAAAGGAAAGAUCAAGACAUCAUCAAUGCUAUGAACUUGAUUAAAAUCGUAAGACAAUGAUUACAAACUAUGAGGGAUGAUGAAUGAGAUUCAUUGUUGUAAGAGGUAAUCUUAUAUUGUAAUAUGCAUGACAUUAAAAUUCUUGAUAUGGAUGUCAACUUUUCAUGAUGGUAAAUCACAAUGUGGAAGCAGAGCACAAGCUAUCAUAAUAGAGCAUCAUUAUCAUGUUGAAUUACUUUAUAAUAUUGUGAAUAUGUAACUUAAGAAAUUCAUGAUAGUUUUUCUGUGACAAAUACUUAACUGCUUCUUUGUAUACCUUAUUUGAGUCCAACCAAAUUUGUUCUAUAGUUUUGAUAAGAUAAAACAUAUUGAAUUUGGAAAGUUCUAUCCACAUCAUUUUUGUUCAGCUGAUUUGGCGAUGCUUGAUAAUCAACUUGAGACAUAUAUUUGAUAUCUUAGUAGUGCUGAACUUGCUUAUUUGAAAGGAAUCAAUAAUCAAAAAAUUUACACAAGUAGUGUAGCUUGAGUUUUUUAUUACGAUUCUGGUGUACAAUUUUAAAAUAUUAUUGGAGUAGUGCACUUUUCACUGAACUCGUGGAUAAAACGUACGAGAUUUCACAUUUUCUCUCUCCUGGUAUCGUGGACAUGGUCCACGAUUUUGGACCCUCUUUUUCUAUCUCUGGAAAUUGUGGAUGCAUUCCAUGAUUUUCACCCUUCAUUUUUCUCUCUCCAAAAAUUAUGUUUUAGGUCCAAGAGUCCUACCUACACUGAUACGAAUUUAAUUAAGUUUAAGUUAAUUAAUUAAAUUCAAAAAAUAAGCUACUACACUAAAUAUAGUAAUUAUUUUUGACAUUGAAAUCUGAAUGUAUAUUUAAUUGUCAUUCUAUUGCAAUUUAUUUCACCAAUUUAUUGAUUAGAUAAUAUUUUAAAGGUCUAUGGACAUAAAUUUCAGAUUCCAAUGCAUUUACAUAAUCAUGUUACUUUAGUGUAUUGAUUAAGACAUUUAAAAAAUAAUUAGUAUAUUUAGUAUAGUAUUUUAUUUUUUGAAUUUGAUUAAUUAACUUAAACAUAAUUAAAUUAGUAUUAGUGUAGUAUUAAAUUAGUGUUUUUUUCAUAUUAUUUUACCAAUGUAUUUUAUGACACGGACAAUGAAUGAAAAAUGUAGGUAGAACUCGUGGACCUGGAACAUAAUUUUUGGAGAGAGAAACAUGAAUGUUGAAAAUCGUAACGCCAUCCACGAUUUCCAAAGAGAGAAAAAGAGGGUCCAAAAUCGUGGACCAUGUCCACAAUUUCAGGAUAGAGAAAAAGUGAAAUUGUGGACCAUGUCCACGAUUUCAGAAAGAAAAAAAAUCUCGCGUGUUUUGUCCACUAGUUCAGUGAAAAUUGCAUUACUCUGGUAAUAUUUUAAAAAUGUACACCAUAACUGUAAUAAAAAAGUCAAACUACACUACUUGUGUAACUUUUCCUCAAUAAUCUUCUAGAGAAGUUGGUUGCAAGUAGUAGACACAUUGUUUACCCAUUAGUUUAUUUUGUUUUACAAUUAGCAAUGAUUUUACUUGUUGCCACACCAACAGUUAAAAAAGCCUUUUGAGGUAUGAAGAUUGUUAAAAGUAGGUUGCAUAAUUGAAUGAGAGAUAUAUGGAUGAAUGACUAUCCCGUGACUUUUAUCGUGUGAGAAGUCUUUGACGAUAUUAACAAUGAGUUUAUCAUUUAAUGAUUUCAAAAUAUGAAGCCAUGUAGAGAUGAAUUAUGAAAUAUGUAAUUCAUUUGAUUAACUACGUUUAAAUUUUGUGAUUUUAACAUUAAUGUUUUCACAUGCUUAUAUAUGAUGAUAUUUACUAUUUUAAUCUUUAACAUAUAUUGGACAAACCCUACUCUAGGCUCUUAUUCUGUCACUAGAUGCAGCCAUAAUAUUAUGGCUGUAAUGACCGCCGCAACCGCAUCACACUAUAAUUGCGGUGGGAUCCUGAAUUGCAAUGAUGUGACCACAUCGGGUUGCAGCACAACCACAUUUAACCCCAUUUGUACUAUAAUACGUUGCAUGGUAUUAGAGACUGGACAACUAUGAACAUUGCAUUUUUUAGUAAAUUAAUUUGGACCCUUAUACUCGGUACUAAUAAGCAUUGGAUUAGAGCUUUAGAGACUCCAUUUUCUGUUGCAAAACUCCUAUCAAAUGCUUCUUGUUUGGCAAUACAUUGUUAAGACUCUUUAUGUUAAUUUGGUAUGAGGAUUGGAUAGGAAAUGGUUUGCUUUGCAACUUGGUUUACUAUGUUCAUAUUAUGGAUACAUGCAAGUUUGUUUGUAAUUGUAGGUGAAUAAUGCUUGGAACAUAAAUUCACAUGAUAUUGCUAUGAUACGGGAAUUAAGGACCAUUACGUGUAGUUAUUAUAGGCAACGGAAGAUCAUGUCACUCAACACUAUGCAUGAAGAUUAGCACAAAAUAAAAUUUCGUUAUUAUAGGUUUCAUUGGAGAGGAAUGAGAUUGAGGAAACUAGAAAUUGAAGAAAAAUGAAACCUUGAUAAAAAAAGGUUAUCGUUGGACUCUCGCCCAAGCGAGAGCUGGCGCUCAAGCGAUAAAACAAGCCAAUCCUUCUAGAGACCUCUCGUCUAAGCGAGGUCUGGCGCUCAAGUGAUAAAAUUAAGCCAAUCCUCUUGGAGACCUCUCGCUCAAGUGAAGUCUGGCACUCAAGUGAUAAAAGCAAGCCAAUCCUCCUAGAGACCUCUCGCCCAAGUGAGAGUUGGCACUCAAGCGAUAAAAAUAAUCCAAUCCACCUGGAGACCUCUCGCCCAAGCGAGAACUGACGCUUAAGCGAUACAAGCUUGAGAACAAGCUAAUUCUCCUAUCUUAAGGAAAAGUUUCCUCACACAACUUUUCACGCCUACUAAGGAGAAUCCUAGAUUUCAAGAUCACUUCCCCAUUGUUAGCACAUGUGUUUAGGUCUUGAGAUCAAACAAACAAUUCAUACGUAUAAGCUACUAGAACACUUAUUUGAGUAAUGUUCAUCCAUGGAUAACCAUAGCAUUACUCCACACAUAUACAUAACUUAAAUGAUAUGGCUUAAGAAACCACACGUACUUAAUCCAAACAAACAGACAAUUGAUUAAGUACAAGAUUUCUUAAUUCCUAAGACAACUCCUAAACUUAUGAGGGAGUUUAGGAGAUCUUGAUGCCAUAUCCUGACACCACUGUGUCACGAUGUUUUCUCCCUCACCUGAGUAUUUCGUGCAAAUUGUUUUCUCGACUUUAGGUGAAAGUAAGGUGUUCAGUCUCGUCUUGAAAUCUUCAUCAUGAUAACAACCAAUAUAAACACUAAUAAGAAUACUUGAUAAUUACAAUUCUUAUAUAGUGACACUUUAUGAAAAAACUUAAUUUUUAAUCUAAUAUAGAUUUAAUCACUUUCAUCCAUCCGAUUCAAGAUUAAGUAUUCUUGAAUCAUCAUUUAUCAUUUAAAGUCUUAAAAUAAAAAUAAUACUUUAAAAUAAAACUUUAACAAAACUUGUACUUUUGAAGUAAGACACUCUUACUAAGAACAACAUCUUAAAGUAAGAUUAUUAAGUUAAACUUACAUUUUUAAAGUAAGCUAACUUAAAUAAAAAUCAAUACUUUAAUUAAGACUUUUUAAGUCACACUUACCACUUCAAGGUAAGCUAACUUAGCCAAAGUCGACACUUUUAAAUCAAAACUUUUUAAGUCAAACUUACCACGUUAAAGUAAGCUUAUCUUAACAACGUCCACACUUUAACUAUAUUACUAUCCAAGACUUUAUAACACUUUAAGUUUAUAAAGUCAAGACUUUAAUAAGUCAUCUUUUAUCCCAAAUCAUUACUUUAACUUGUAAAUCAAAGGAUAACAUUUACUAAUUAAACUCUUAACACAUAAUACUUUUUUAACAAGAAGUCAUCAUUUUCCGUAAUAUGGUUCACAACUUCACCAAUGAGCCCAAGGGGUGUCAUCCAACAACAUUUCAUUCUAAGUAAUCACAUGACUUUUUAGUGUUGAUAACACAUUCAUUAAGCAUACUAACAACACUACUUUAACACUUUAAAAUACACUUAAACUCAUAAACUUAAACAUUUUGGAUUUCAAAAAUAGAAAAUAAACUUUUCCUAAACACAUAUAUAGGCCACGAUUUUUAGGCCAAAUGACAAGGACUAGACCUCACCAAAAUAAAAGAACACAUUUAUUGAUCAAUUAUCCGUCAUAAUAUAUCCUAGGAGAAAGAGGUUUAUAAAGGAAAAUUCUAAAAACAUAUGUGACAAAUUAAACAAACAGAACUACCAACAAGGUGUUGGUUUAGUAGUGUAGGCCUCACUUGAUCUCUAAGGCUGAUGGUUUGAUUCCUGUGAGCGACACUUAUUGUGAGAAAUAGCCACAAACCCCAAAAGAGAUUUAUUCCUUAACCAAAAAGGUAAGGGAUAACCUUGAUAGUACAAAAAAAUAAAUAAAACUACUAUCUUGGUUUUUUAAAAGUUAUUUUAGUGUUUUAAAAGGUUUCUUUUUCCAAAUAAGUCCCAUAAAAUUUCUACUUCCAACAAAUAAAUCUUUUCAUUAUGUAAUUAAAAUGGUACACAUGACAAAUGUUGUUACUUAUACUUGGGUUGAAGAAUCAGAAAACUUAUCCCAAACAAAACAAAAUAAGGAGAGAGAAAAAAAAUUAGUUGAAAGAGGAAUGGUGUAGUUUUUUUCCAAUAAAAAUGUGUAAAUACAUAUAGUUCUAGUAAAUUUUAAAGUGUAAUAAUUUGAUAAUUGAGAAAAGUAAACUCAAAAAAUUAUAACAUCUGUAUUACCAAAAAAGAUAAUAAUGUCUCUAUCAUGAUAAUAAAAAUAUUAAAACUAAUAAAUUUGACCUAUAUUAAAUAUUUUUUGAAAUCAUUUUAAACUUUCCCAUGGUUGAAUUCACCCAUUUUCUUGAAGAAUAGCUCUUGAGUCUAAAAAAAUAGAGAGAAAGAAAGUUGGUUGGGUUAGAGGGUUUUGGUUCAGUUUGUAAAGUGCAAUGGUUUCGUUGUCAACAUGGGUUCGAUACAUUGCUCACAAGCUUGAAUACUCCGCCUCUAUCGGCUGGAAGGUUCUUUACUCUUCAAUUCAUACCUUCAUUUCAUUUACCACUUAUACUCUCCAAAACUUGUUUUUUUAUGUUUAAUUAUAAAAACAUUGUUCCUAUCUUUGAGUUUUGGUGUUAAUUGUUAAUUCUAGCUAUGCAAUUUAUAAGAUCCCUGCUCCAAAAUAGAAGAAGAAGAAGAGAAAUGGGAAAAAAAGCUGUUUUUUUUUCACAUAACCCUUGUAAAGUAACUCUAAUCAAAUGUGGUUCUUUUAUUAGGUUCUACAAGUGUUCUCCGCUUUUGCUGCAUUUUAGGGUCAGUUUGUUAUGCUUAAAAAAUGAUUAUAAGAUAUUGUAGAAAAGUGAUUUUACAAAAUAAGGGAUUUUUUGAGAUGCUGAAAACUAUGGAUUCUUGUAAAAGCUGAAUUUCAGCUUCUGCUUUUUUUUUAAAGCCUAACCAAACAAGCUUGUAAAUAUCAUAAGUUGAAUAAAGCUUAAACAAACAUGCCCUUAAACUGCUUUCAUUAAUUUUUUAAUUAAGUUCGUUAAGGUUGUAUUUAUGGGGAGUGUGUGGGUUAUAAGGAGGAAGUGUGAGGGUAGGAUGCAACUCGUAAAGAGGGAAAGUUAGAAGUGAUAUCAUAGUUUGCUUGGUUGUCAAAUGAUAUGAUGUUCUGCAUAUUCUAUUUGCUGUAUUUUAGUUUCCACGUCAUAAUGGGCGGAUCAAGUAAAUGGUUGUCCCUGGAUGUUCUCACUUAGGCAAGCUAAAUAUUUUCGUAACCGAUGAUUCGCCCGUGUUUCCAGAUGCAAGUCGGUAUAUGAAGAUUUUUCACCUCAUGAUUUUUGUGAUUGGAAGUUAGAUUUGCAAAGUAAACUUAAAACUGGUCUGCUUUGAAUUGUUUAACAUGGUAAUGAUACAACAUCCAAGCCUUAGUCCCAUUAGAUGGGGUCGGCAACAUGGUAAUGAUGAUGAGAAAAUAUUAUAAUUUGGGUAUUUAAUAGGGUUCAUCUCAUUAAUGUUCUAACUUCUAACACAUGUGUAGAUUUCCAGAAAUCACUGUGUAGUUUAAAAGGCCAUGCUCGGCAUGGAACCUUGUUGAUGCUUUGUCAAUAGGCUCUCUAGCUUGUAGGUUUGAGAUACGUAAAUAAGAUAUUACUGGAUAGAAGAAUUUUAUAUCUGAUGAAGCUUGUUUUCUUCAAAUCAGGAUCUAAGUAGUUUGAAAUGAAUUGCAUUUGGAGUUUUCAUGGCGUUAGAGUGGAUGGGAUAUUAGAGCUUAAAAGUUUAGAUUCUAUAUUUCCUCCCUUUAUUUCUAUUUAUUAUAAACAAAGUGUAUAAGUCUAAGUGGAACUCUUUAAAAAAGAGAGUUAACUGUAAGUCUAAACUGCGUUGCAUAAGAGGAGGUGAUAAGUAAUAACUGUUUACACACUUGUUUUUUGUGUGUGGGUAAAUCAAGGACUUGUUGUUUUAAUUGGCACUUAUAAAUGUAUGCAAGGUUAUGGCCUUAUGGGAGGUACCCGUGGCUUGAAAACCAGUUUCUUACUCUAUGUGAAUUCUGGCAAGCAUUAGAAAAACAAGGCAUCCCAGUAUUCUAUUUCUAGCUUCCAAGGUUAUGAUUUUAUCUUGAGAAGUUCAAACACUAAUCUUUAUGUUUUAAUUUUGGCUCUCUCCUUCUCUUCAGCUAAAUCUGUUAGAAUAUUAGGGGUGGUAUUGACUUUGGCGGGUUAUUGGGAUGGGGCAUGUACCAGUAGCACACUUGUAUUUGGCCUAGAAUUUUAUUAUAAUUAAUAGGAAUAUUAGGUUAGUGUUUUUAUAUCACAGCUUAAUUAUCAUUCAGGGUCUAAUACAAAUAUAUUCUCUCUUUUGUCCUUCUCCGUAAUGUACUUUGAGCUUAUACUUGGGGUCAUUUGAAGCAUAACUUUGUGAAGAACAUCAUAUAUGAGCUUUGAUAUUAAAGGCGAGGGAACUCUCCUAAGGCCUACCUUUGUGGGUGUUAUAACAUAGAACCUUGAUGUAAAAUGUUUAGAAUAAUAGGCAAGUUAUCUACUAAGCAGAGGCAUAUGAAGUAAUAUUUUUCUUUGUAGUUUAAGUUCUACAAUUGUACAGGUUUUACCUGCUUUUCCUCUAUUCUGUGGCUGUGUAUCACAUUGUUAGCAGUAGCACUUAAAAGCCUCUCCUUUAAAGUAUUUUCUGACUGAUUCAGUGUUGUCAUGUGAAACAGAACUAUACAGGAGGUCAAAUCACAGACACACAGCUAGGUGAUGCUGUUUGGAAGAACCUUUUUCAAGGAAAGUUAACAUACAUGCACUGGAAUAAAGGAGAGGAGAUGGCCCCUACCAUUGCUGGAAAAGCAGUAACUCUUGUUCGUAAAAUACCAAUUGCUGAUCCAAAGUAACUAUACUUGUCCAAUUCAGCAUACAUUUUUCUUUAUGAAAAUCUAUUGACUGCUAUUGCAAGUUGUUUGAUAUGGGUCAUCCUAGGUAGUCAAUAGCACGCUAUAGCGCCGCAAUAGCGGACUGUAGCAGUAUUUCGACCAUUACCCGCAACGCCAUAGUGGAUAGCGGUGCAGAUGGCUGUAGCACCUGUAGCAGGUCAAAUAGCGGCAAAAUUGCAGGGAAAAUAGCGGAUCAUGACCCGCUACAUGUUUUAUUGCGAGUGGAACCCUAACUUUAUAGAAGAAAAGUAUUUUUUGCUCCUCUUUUUAAUAGGUGGCUGGUUUUUCACUAGGGUUUUAGGUAAUUUAACCUCCCAUUCUUUCCCUUCUACUUAACACAUUGAUUUUCCUAGGCCAUGUGAUUUUUAAUUGGUUAUACCUUUCUUCUUCCAAAUUCCAGUUCACAUGUUCAAUUGCUUACAUGUUCUUCAUCAGCAUAGAACAAAAUUGCAAGGCUUCCUAAUUUACGAUCAUUCUCCAUCUUUUCUUAAAAGAAAAUUCUUGGUCCCUGAUUGUUUGCCCUAUCAUCUCUUUAUUGAUUCUCUUAUUAACCUGAUUGAACCCAAUUGACAUCAUCUUCGUGUGGUUCAAUUUCGUGAGAUACAAUUCUGUUAUGGCAUCCAACUUUGAUCAACUCUAGAACCUUUAAUACUUUUUUCUUGAUUAUUAAUUAGGAAUGUGUCUUUAAUAUGAUUAAUUUUAGUAUUUAUAUAUGUAGGCUAUAAACUACUUAUAUAUAUAUUUUUUUCUUAGCUGUAGCGGUUGUCCCGCUAUCCCGCUAUAGUGUUUUUGGGGUCGGCCGCUAUGCUCUGCUAUCCGGGACUGCCGUUUUUUUACUACUAGACCAAUAGACCAUCAUUGUGAACUACAGUGAUAUAGAAUUCACACUUGAAGCAGAGUUACUUACCAAUUUCAAUAUCUUUUAUGGUGUGUCUGUGUAUUAUUUAGGAGACACCAUUUUCUGUGUAUAAUUUUUUUGGUUAAAUUAGAGUUUGCCCGUUGUGGUUUGAUUUCACAAAUGAAUCACCUGUUUUUUUAUUUCUGCUACCCACUUUAUCCAAAUGACAUUGAAUCAUAAUUUUUAUAAUAAUGAAUAAUAAAUGAUUUGCAAUGACUUAUGCAUUAAAGUAGGGACCUUCUUAGCUUAAUUGCAUAUUUUUGUAUGCUAUAUCAGCUCAACAUAAUCUCCAUCAUAAAAAAUAAUUUUGGCUGAAUGUUUCAAUCUCUGUUAUAAUCCAGAUCACUUAUGAAAGUGGUAGCUAUUCUUUCGUUCAUUUUUCAUUGUUAUGCAGUAAUAUAUUAUUUUCUUGGUUUGUACCUUUUCCAUUUCCACUGUUUCGUUAGUUUUUUUUAAGCGCAUACUUGAUAUCACGAUUCACGCAUUAGGGUGUGCCUUGGUGCAAUGGUGCUAUUGGCGGAAACCACCUUUCUGCUCAUGCAGUAAGAAAUAAAGUUUAUUCAUCUACUCCUCGUCAAACCCCACAAAUAUUCUUGUGUGCUAGGCUGCCGUUUUUAGUCAGUAAUGUGAUGCUAUGAGGAACUACGUGUAAUGUUGGUUCAGGUCCCUUUCUGUGUUCAGAUAGAUAAGUGGCUCCUCGAGGUAGGUAUCUAAGAUUUUUGCUGUCCAAGUAAUUGUUCUUCAAUGGUUGGGCCAAUGAUUUAAAUUGCGAUCACGACUACUGUGAUUGCGGUCACUGCAGUACGCAUUGUGGACGUUGCGGUGUGAAAUUUUUUAUGAUUAAAAAAUUGUUUUGAAUUUGAUGCGGCCCAAAUGCGAUAUAAUGUGAUUGUAUUGCAGCUGCAUCAUUGUAAUUCGCUGUCACACCUCAGUUGCGGGGUGAUGCGGUUGCUGAGAUCACCACGAUCACAAUGUUGCGGCCACAUCUGGUGAUACAUUUCACAAUUUGAUACAAUUGGUUGUGCAAAUAUACAGUAAUUGUGUCUACAGUUUCUGACCUGCAUUUGUUCCACAGAAGUUAGUAAGAGAUUGACUGACAAUUGAUGAUUUCACCCGGAGAUAAUUACUUAGUGCAUGCACAUUUCUGUUAUUUGUUAGUGAUAUACAUUUUCUUUGACAGGACUGUUUUUGUAGGAGAUGUUGUAGUGUUGAAGGACCCCGAGAAGGCAGAUAACUUCCUAGUCAGAAGAUUAACUGCAGUUGAGGGUUAUGAAAUGGUUUCUACGGAUGAGAAGGAUGAACCCUUUGUUCUUGAGAAGGAGCAAUGCUGGGUAGCGUCUGACAAUGAAAAUUUGAAAGCCAAGGUAUAAACUGCUUACUUUUCUUGUAAAGUAAUUGUUAUAUUUGCAUUUCCAAUUCACUAUUACCUAUAUUCUAUCAGUAGAUGGAUCAUUAUGCAUCUCUGCCACAAUUUAAAGUGCUAUUAUUGUAUUAUUGUUGGAAUAGAAAUUUAAGAUUAUAAUAUCAUGCAAUAAAGCAAGUGGUUCUUAUCGAUAUAAUAUCAUUCAAAGCGAUCACAUACGUGUAAUUGCUUAGAAUUUUUGAAAUUUAGUGUGUUAGGUUCACAUGAGAACUAGCUAGAAUUCAACGGUUUAAUUGGUUAAAAUCUAUAGAAUUACUAGAUGGUGCUAGCCAAUUCUUACACAUGUAUCAACAGAUCCUGUCAAUGUGACUUGGACAUCGGUUUUCAGCUAAACCCCCCUUUUAUCAAGUCAGAGUCAUAGAAAUGAAAUAGACCACAGCUUGGCAUGGCAAUUCUGCAAAGCAUUUUAGAAUUCAGUUUACAACAAUUAUGUUGCUAUAGGUGUAUGAGCUUGUGACUUGGGUUUCUCAAGUAGAAAUGUUUAAUUCACUUAUUUCUGUCAUAAUCUUUAUGAAGAAUGCUAGCAACACACUUUUUAAUGCAGGCUUUGUUAUUGGGUCGAAUUUAUGUGGCCCGCUAAAUCAUAUGGUUCCACUUUCAAUUUAGUGAGUCCACAUGAAUUCCGCGAUUUACAAAGUGCGUGUUGAAAAGAGUGUGUGUUAGCAUUUCUCUAAACUUUACUGUUUUGAGUCGUUAGUAAUACAAAAAUAGCUUCUUCUUAAACAGUAAAAAAUAGCUGUAACAGUAACAGAAAACCUUUUUAAGUGAUAAUUGAGCAUAUAAUUAAUUUUGAACCUUGUAUUAAGUAUCUCUAAGCUUUGAAGUGAAUGUUUCCAGAAAGUCUAGUAGGAUCUGCUGUAAUAUUUUGGCUAUGCUUUUGACUGCUCAGUCGCUUGUAGAACAAGUAAUAAUUCCUUUGCUUAACGACCCCAAUCCAAAUGGCAGGAAGCAAAUGAUAGUCGAAAAUUUGGUCCAGUUCAGAUGACAGACAUUGUAGGCAGAGUCAUAUAUUGCCUGCGAAAUGCCGUAGACCAUGGCCGUGUAGAGAACAGGUAAACUAAAUUUCCGACGCAUAAUUUAUUAUGCACAUAUUGUUUUGUUUUUUAUUGAUAUAUUCUUCUUCUUUGCAGUGAUUUCAGCAUGCAAAAGGAUUCACCAGUGUUGGAAGUGGAACUUGAUGUUGAUGAGAUGGUAAAGAGUCAGAAAGACUAAAACAUAUGCCCUCAGAAAAAACUAAUUUGUUCAUUUUAAGCAUGCUCUGAUUUGUUCUUGCUGAUCUUCUUUUUUAAGCACAGAGGAAUAAUAAAAUAUUUGAUUUUUGAGUUGUUGCAAUGGAAUGGUGUUGUUGUUAUGGGAAUGUCCUUAGAUAAGUCUGUAUAUCAGGCAUUGGCUCUUUCUUUGUAACUGCAAAAUUUGAAGUGGCUCAUGUGUUGAAAAUUGUUGCAAGUUAUUUGGCUCCAUUUGUUGAUGAUGAUAAAAGGCUACAUUUUAGAAAUUAUUGUUUUAGCUAUAUAUACUUUUCUUCCCUGGGUAAAAGUUGUGCCUAGUGCUACUACUAUGCUCUACUACGUUUACGUGUUGAGUUUUGAAGGUGAAUUAAUGGAAAUAGAAGGUUUGGGGGCCAUGAAAUACAUUAGUGAGAUGACUCCGAUCCUCAUUUAUCUUAUUUCCCCUUCAAAAUUUAACUUGCAAACAAAAUCUAAGUGUUCACUUAUUGAACUGUAGAAUGAGUUUGAUCAAGAACGUUUUAAGUGAAUCUUAAUUGAAUCAAAUAAAACUUUCUUCAACUCAUUUCAAUUUAUUUGACUUUCAUUUUAAUGAACUAAAAUUUAUUGUUACUAACCUGCAAUGCAUAAUGCAUUCACAGACUGAAUAAACUCUAAAUGGGACCUCUCUCUAUUCAUCAUUUCUUCAUAAACAUCUGUCCUUUGAUGAGUUAUUGAGAUUAAUGCACCUAAUUUUUUUUGUUAAAGAAAUCAAAAAAUGUUGGUCUCAAACACACAGGUAUGAGUACCCUGGAAUAAAAUAUCAAUAGGGGCGUUAGCAGUUCCGGUUUAAACCACGAAAUUGGUAGAACCGAAUCAAACCAUAAAAUGUGGUUCAGUUCAGUUUUGCGGUUGGGUUUGGUUAUUUAUUUAAGGAACCAUUUAUGUUCGGUUCGGUUCAUGAUUUUAAAAAUUUAUAAAUUGUUAGAACUCAACAGCAUAUUAAGUAAAUAAAUACUAGGGAAUAAUGUUAAAGUGUUGUUUGUAUUCUUCAACCAAUUUUGUGAUUUAAAUUAUCAUUUUUGUUUGCAUUGUAGUGUUAUAAAUGUUACUAAAUUAUUGUUAUAUUAGUGUUAUCUAUAUAACUACUUACUAAAUUGUUAUAUAUGUGCUACUUUCUCAAUAUCUUAUGAUUUAGAACAUAUUUUUUAACUUUCGUGGUAUUAGGUUUGAAAUUAAUAUAUACCAUAAAUUGUUAGACAUGUGUUCUUACAUAUGUUACUACUUACAAUUGUGAAUUGUAAUAUUACAUUUAUUACUAGUAUAUAUAUUACUAUUAUAUAUAUUACUAAAUUGUUAUACAUGUUACUAAUAGUAAAUUAUAUUGUUAUAUAUGUAACUAAUAUAUAUAUUACUAAUUCUGAAUGUACUAUCAUAUAUGUAGUCUUUUAUUUUUUCUUCCUAAAUUACACAAUUUUUAUAUGGGUUACUAACUUAUUAGUUUAAAUUUUUUACACAUUUAUUCCUGAUUUAUAUUUUUUGGAUAAAUAAUAUGAGUGUUUUUCUUUUUAUGGACAAACAAUGUUUCUUAUAAUAUAUUUUUAAUUUUUAAUUGAUACAAUACUUUUUUUAUAUAGAAAAUCGUGGAACCGAACCAUUUAUGAGCGUUUCGGUACCAUAAUAAAAUUUAUAGUUGAUUGAGGUGUAUUAAACUAUUUCUUUAUGUUCAAUUCAGUCACCAAAUUAAACCAAAAACCGAACUUUUAUGUUCCUAACUAUUUACCUAUUUUUAUGUUGUAGUUAAUAUAAUAAUUUUAAUGUUUAAGUAUGUUUUUAGUAUCUAAAAAACAAUUGGCACCCUACAUGGUGCUUUAAUUUUAUAUUUUCUUUUUAUUUCUUAUUUUUAGUGUUUUUGGGCAUCAACAACCAACAAUCAUCUAUCUGGAAAACCAAAGAUCUAAUUGAUUAUAGAUGCUGUUGACAAUCUUUGUAGGAUUGAUAGUUGAAGUUGGAGAUGUUAUUACCAUUGCUAUUGUUCAACCCUCUCACCAUAGUCAUUCACCACACAUUGUCCUUCUCACCUUUGAAUCAAUUCUACAAUCCCAUAAAACAUCGUUGGAACCCAUGUACAUGAACAAGUCACAUAUUCCCAUGGCCUUGGCAUGAAUAUUAUAGUGCAGUAAGUAUAGAAAAUGUCAACAUAAACCUUUAAUUAUGUCGUUACACUCUCCAACUCUUCAUGUCCACAAUCUAUGUUCUGCUGCAUUGGAAUUCUUUUCCCUUCAAAAUGUCAAGACAAUUUAGAAGAUUACAUGGAAGUUUUUAACUGCGAUGACGAGAGCCAUAGUGCAUUACAUUGAGAAAAGAAAAGGAUGUAUGCAUAACAAAUUUUUAUAUUGUGAACGUAUCAUUUAUAUUCUUAUAAAAGUUAAAUAAUGUUUUUUAAGUCAUGAGAAAAAUGACUUCAUAAUAUAAGAGUUUUAUAUAUUAUUACUAUAUCAUCUAUCAUUCAUAUAUUUAAUUAUCAUUGAUAUAAAUAAAUGAUAUAUUGAUUAUAUAUAGAUUUUUACAAUGAAAAUCUAUUCUUAAGUUCAUAACAUUUCCAUUCUUAGUUCGGUUCAACGUAUUAUUUUAUAUCAUUCUUAUUUAUAUUUGAGUAUCACAAUUUAUCCAUAAGUUUUUUAUUUUAUAAUAACAAACGAUUUCUCUGUCUUUUUUUUGUGCUUUCCAAACCCACAUUUUCUUAUUUAGAAUAAACACAAGAUAUUUCUUGUACAAAUAAUAUUACAUAUUCUUAAAAAAAUAAUAAUAGCGAAUGAGAGGAUAAUAUUUUAUUUAAAUAAGAAUGGAUUAUUAUCUAUGAUCUAAUUCCUAAUUUUUUUGGUAUCAUGAAAGUAUUCACUUUUGGAUAAUAAACUAAUCCAUUCCAAAAUAUAUAUUUGUCCUCUUAAUAAAUGUUAUUUUCAAUAAUCAAACCAUUAAUAUUUGGAUUAUCUUAAAGAUCUAGCGAACCUUACAUUAGUAAACUAGUUCUAAUCCCAAUUUGUUAAGGUUAGUCAAAUUCCAAACAAACUCGUUUGGAAAGGAAAUUGAUGUUGGCGAAAAUAUCCCUUAUGAUGGGUCCACCAUCUUUCUAACAGAUACACACUGAUAAGCGAAACAGUAAGAAGCUAUUGAGUCUCACUCACUGUUACUUCCUCAGUCUCACUAUGUCGCAAACGCCGCAUCUCGUCGUCGCUAAUAACGUCGGUAAGUCACUCUCUCCUAUUAUUCUCUCAUCCUCUAUGCUUUGUGAUUAUUCUCCUUCUUUUUUUCCCCAUAAACUUAAUGGAACACACAAUAACCUUAACCACUUAAUACUAAAUAAAUAGCUGCUCCAUUUUCAAAAAUCUACCGUGUCUCUUUUUUCAUUUACUUACUUUUGUAUUGAACACUAGGGUUUUUGCAUUGCAGUGUGUUGCUAAAUUUCCUCUAUUAUUUUUUUAAAUUUUUGUAGCUUUGUGAUAGAAAGCUUCUUGCUUUAUGAGUUUUUUUAAUGGUUUUGUUUUUUCCCUGCAUUUUUGUUAGCUCUAUGUGGGAACUAAUGGUUUGAGAGAGAUAGAAUAUUGUUUUCAUAUAUGAGGUUUUGGUGUUUCUAUUGCCUGUAACGUAUUUGAUGAAAUGCCAGUGUUAAACUGUAGUAGUUGUUGGACAUCUAGUAGUAAAAAAUCGGCAGUCCCAGAUAGCGGCCAACCCCAAAAAUACUAUAGCGGGAUAGCGGGUAGCGGGACAACCACUACAACUAAGAAAAAAAAAUAUAUAAGUAGUUUAUAGCCUACAUAUAUAAAUACUAAAAUUAAUCAUAUUAAAGACACAUUCCUAAUUAAUAAUCAAGAAAAAAGUAUUAAAGGUUCUAGAGCUAAUCAAAGUUGGAUGCCAUAACAGAAUUGUAUCUCACAAAAUUGAACCACACGAAGAUGAUGUCAAUUGGGUUAAAUCAGUUUAAUAAGAGAAUCAAUAAGGAGAUGAUAGGGCAAACAAUCAGGGACCAAGAAUUUUCUUUUAAGAAAAGAUGGAGAAUGAUCGUAAAUUAGGAAGCCUUGCAAUUUUGUUCUAUGCUGAUGAAGAACAUGUAAGCAAUUGAACAUGUGAACUGGAAUUUGGAAGAAGAAAGGUAUAACCAAUUAAAAAUCACAUGGCCUAGGAAAAUCAAUGUGUUAAGUAGAAGGGAAAGAAUGGGAGGUUAAAUUACCUAAAACCCUAGUGAAAAACCAGCCACCUAUUAAAAAGAGGAGCAAAAAAUACUUUUCUUCUAUAAAGUUAGGGUUCCACUCGCAAUAAAACAUGUAGCGGGUCAUGAUCCGCUAUUUUCCCUGCAAUUUUGCCGCUAUUUGACCUGCUACAGGUGCUACAGCCAUCUGCACCGCUAUCCACUAUGGCGUUGCGGGUAAUGGUCGAAGCACUGCUACAGUCCGCUAUUGCGGCGCUAUAGCGUGCUAUUGACUACCUAGGUUGGACACUUUCAUUAUUAAAGGAAGUACUCUUCUCCGAAACUGCCUUGGGAUUUCUUCUUUCUGAAUACUUUCGUUAUGUUUGUUUUGAGUUUUGACAAUGUUUGGAUUUUCUAUGUGAUUCCUUCCCUCCUGCUUAUUGCUAUUGUUCAAUUCAAAAUGUGGUAAAUAAAAUUGGAUGGUCAUUAUGCUUAUUUUAAGUUGUAUUAGACAAUGGAUUGUAAUGUUGUAUGUUGUUGAUCAGGAUUCUUUACCUUUAGAAAGGUUCUCACCAAACUGAAAUAAUGGAUUUUUUUUAUUCUGUUUUUCUUUUGUGAUUGAAACAGUUACUGUAUUUUCGGUCAAUAGGUUUUAUCUGCAAGCUGCUUCUAGAAUAGUCUUAAGUCAUCAUGACUAUAGCGUUAUUAGUAUGUUCUUAAGCUGGUUUUUUUAUGGCUGGGUUCCCAUUAUUAGUCUUCUCACUUUGAUGCUUAUUAUCCGUAAAUUCAGAGGUUUGAGUACGUGGUGCCUUGUGUAGGGUUUCUCUUGCAGCCUUGUUUUGUGUCAUUUACUGUCGUUGUUUAUUUUUCAUUUCUCAUAGACUCAUACUUUACCUUCCUCUUUGUGGGUGUUUGUUGAAUUGGUUUCAAUGAUAUUGCAGGUUGUGGAAUGUCAGAAGUAAGGUGUCUCCCAUGUUCAGGCGUUUCUGGAAGGACAACUGCUAUAUAUUCUUGCUCUUCUCUGAGUCAUUACAGCAUUCAUUCACAUGUCAAAAUUAGAGGGCUAAAGUGUGCUUCUGCGGGGGCAUCUUUUGUGUGCGAAGCAAGGAAGAAUCCAGAUUUCUCAAGGCAAAACAAGCAUGGGUCCUCCAGAAGCAGGAACAGGCACAAUGAAAGUAGAGAUAGCUUUGAGAACUUCGAAGAAGAUAUGUUGUCUUUGAAAAACGGACCAUUGGUAUCACUUUCUACUGCUGGAAAAUCCCAGGCAACUGCAGCCCCUGGACCUAGAGAGAAGGAGAUUGUUGAGCUAUUUAGGAAGGUUCAAGCUAAGCUGCGUGAGAGAGCUGCUACCAAGGAAGAAAAGAAGGUUGAAACCCCCCAAGGACGUGGUAAAGAGAAUGGUACUGUUGAUUCCCUCCUCAAGCUACUGAAGAAACACUCAAAUGAGCAACAAAAGAAAAGCAGUGGAGGAGGCAGAGGGAAAGAUUUUAGUUUGGACGGGUCGCAAGAAAGUAGUCAAUAUGAUGGUGGACGAAGCACUAAAUUUUCCAAUUUGGAUAAUGCUCCAAAGGAUAACUCCCGAGAAUCCAGCUUCUCAUCUGUAACUAGGCCUCGGUCAAGUUUCCAACGAAGGUCUCCUGUUCCUCGUGUAAAACACCAGUCUGUCUCUUAUAAUGAGGAAGAUACUAAUGUAGUGCCACCAAGUAGUGAGGUUAGAGUAAACAAUCAUGAUCAGAGAGAUCUGAAGCUUGAUCAUAAGGUGGAGCCUAGUUCUGAACUAAAUCUUGAUCAUGAGUUAGAGCCUGAUUCUGAACCAGAUCUUGAUCUUGAAUCGGAGAACGACUCUGAACCAGAUCUUGUUCCAAAGGACAACCUGUUCUUCCCAGAUAUCCCAAUUGCUGAGUUGACAGAUAAUGAUUCUCAUGAUUCUGAACAAACAUAUGAGGAGGAACAUGCAGAGGAACAGCUAGUGGUUCAAAAUGAGGAUUUGAGUGCACUGAAGCUGUCUGAAUUGCGGGCACUUGCGAAGUCUCGUGGCCUAAAAGGGUUCUCAAAAAUGAAGAAGGAUGAUCUUAGGGAGUUGCUAACUGGGAAUUGAUUCUGAUCAACAAUUUGCCAGACAAGCAACAACAGACAACACAUGUCAGACUAUAAAAUAGAUGUUUCUUUUCUGUUUUUACCCUUCAUUCUAUUUGGUGUUUUGUAUUUUUUCCGAAGUCUAAUGCUUCUAACUAGACGAGUUUUAUACAUUUGGACAUCAUUCUUUGAAUCCUUCUUUAUUUUAAAUAUCCAUUCACAACUAAUAAGUUUUAUUCUUUCAUUCAAGAAGAUCCCAAACUUUAAUAUCAUGUAUAGAUUUCAUCUCAUUCUUCCCGACAUUAAUUCACUUAUAAAAGUUAGAACUAGGCAUAAUUUGAUAGAAAUUGACUGGUUCAUCAUCUAUUAAACUGAUGUCAUUUUCAUGUUUUCCAAGAAACACAAUAUAAACAUUUGGGGUUGCAUUUCUCCUCUUUAGUACAUCUCAUUCACUACACACUCACUUCCACUUCUUGAGGUUGUUUAGGUUGCUCUCUAAGUACUUUAGGGGAACCUUAUUGUUAUCUUGUUUUAUAAUAUUACCGAUAACAAUAGUAUAAAAAUUAUAUUCUAUUAACGGAGUUGUGUCUUGAAUGAUAAUAGGUACAAUGGCUCGAUCACUAUUAAUAACAAAUUCUUAUUUAAAGACAACAUUUUUUAUGUUAUCUUUGAAAGUGCAAAGUGUCAAGGAUAGCACUAGCAUAUCUUUGCCUAUGUUUUGAUGAAGAUAAGAUUCUAACAAAGCUUGAAGAUGACUCAACAAUCAACAUGCAUUAUGCUCAUUUGGUCAUAUUUAGACUAGGAUGUAAAUUGAGUCUAAAAUCUAAGUAGUCUGGGAUGUGUGCAGUAGUAAGUGAGUAUAGGUUAGGUGAACCUAGGUGCAAGUCUCUUAAGUCAUCUUAAUUGUCACAUCAUAUUCAUGAAACAUAUCGUCUAGUUAAUUGUAUGUUCAUGCAUCUAUCAUACAUGUUAUAUGUACAUAUUAGGCAUAAUAUAAUUGGUAAAACAUGUAUAUAUAUUGUGCAUAACAUACGAGAAGUUUACCAUUUGAAACAUAUGCAUGUUCUAGUUAAUCGAUUAACGUGGUAACUUAAUCGAUUAACUCAACUGUUUUUCUUUUAAAUGUGUGUUUUCUGUUUGAACUAAAUUCUGUGUCAUUCUGUUGCCCCAUUAAUUGAUUAAAGAGAAGCCUUAAUCGAUUAACUAGUCUGUUAUUUGUUAUAACUAAAAUCUGUUUUAACUAUUUAACUGUUUUGCAACGAAUGUAACCGCCUAUUCUCUAUGCUAUAAAUACAAGGCAUUGUUCAGAAAACCACAGCAUUGCAUUCUAUUGUAUAGGGUUGUUUAGAGAGCAUUUUGCAUACGUGUUUUACUGUAUUUUUGCAAGAGAGUUGCAUGCGUGAGAAGAGAGAUUAUGCUGGUUUAAUUGAUGUUAUAUGCUUACUGUUUUUGCAUAAUUCUGUAUCUAUUCUUAUCUUGCUCACAUGCUCAUGCAUUAGAUAUUGUUAGAGAGAAAUUAUCUGUAUACUGAUAUUGAUUAACUCAUUUGAAUCUUGAUGGCUUAAGUGGUUAGUAAAAGGGUUAAUCUUUGAGUCUUUAUCUUGUCNNNNNNNNNNNNNNNNNNNNNNNNNNNNNNNNNNNNNNNNNNNNNNNNNNNNNNNNNNNNNNNNNNNNNNNNNNNNNNNNNNNNNNNNNNNNNNNNNNNNAGGGUAGAGUCAAACCAAGGAUUUAGAGGUCCUAGAUUUCAAGAAGGGAGCGUCCUAUGUGCUUGUAAUUGAAUUGGUAUUUGUAUCCAUAUUUCAAUAUUGUGAAGAAAGAAAAUCUCCCUGAUCCAGAAGGGAAGGCUUGGAUGUAGUUUAUAGUGAACCGCAAACGAAUUAGGAUAAAAAUCCUUUGUGCACUGUUCUUUCUCUCUUUAUCUUCUUUAUGUUUCUUGCCAUUAUAAAUUCUUGCCAUUAUCUGUAAUUGAAAAGUUGGAUAUUUGUUUACUAUCAUAUACUUAAUAAUUAUGCGUAAAAAUAUCUGUAUUAUAUAUGUUCAAUUUUGUUUUAAUUACUGUGCCAAUUGCCUGUCUAAUCAUUCUGUUCUGUGCAAUAGUUAAUUGAUUAAACCUUGUUGUUAAUCGAUUAACUGGGCUAUUUCCAGCAGUUGGGUUUUGGUUCAAGAAGCGGUGAUUGAUAACCGCUACACCAAUUCAACCCCCCUUCUAGGUGAUCCUAGGCCACUAAUACCUAACAAGUGGUAUCAGAGCUAGUACGACGUGCUAGCUCAACCGCAUUCGCGUGAUCCGAAGGGAAUUAAAAUGGGUUCCACCAACCCCUUUGGCGGUGAUGGUGCAUCCAUUAACGUCCUCACGUAUUUAGUGGCGAGGGUUACGCCUACUGGAAAGUCCGAAUGAAAAUAUUCAUUGAGGCUAUUGAUUCGGAUAUUUGGGAAUCCGUAAUUAGUGGCCUCUUCGCCCCACUUCACUUAGUGGAUAGCAAACCGAAAGAAAAGCCAAAAACGCUUAUGGACCGAUGAGGAGCGCAAGAAGGUCCAGUUUAACCUUCGCGCCAAAAACAUCAUUACCUCGGCUCUAUCCAACGAUGAAUUCUUUUGGGUAUCUCAAUGUCAAAGUGCCAAGGAAAUGUGGGACACUUUAAAAGUGACUCACGAAGGCACUAGCGAAGUCAAGCGCGCCCGGCUAAACGCGCUAACUCACGAAUACGAAUUAUUUCAUAUGCUACCGAGUGAAUCAAUCGACGAUAUGAAAAAACGAUUCACUCACAUUAUUAACCAUCUUAUUGAUUUAGAUAAGAUGUUCACCAAAGGAGAGCUCGCUAAUAAAGUCUUACGUUGUCUUGACAAUGCAACCUAAAGUAACAGCAAUCAUGGAGUCCAAGGAUCUAGACUACAUGCCUCUGACAACACUCUUUGGAAAGCUUCAGGAGCAUGAGAUGGAGCUUGGGCGUUUGACAAUGCAUGAGGAGUCCGAUCGCAAAAAGAAGGGAAUAUCUCUUAAAGCUUCAACAUCACAACCCAUCGAAGAGAUAGAUAAUGACGACUCCGAUUCAGACAUUGACGAGGAAACGCUAAACCUCCUUGUACGAAAAUUUGGAAAUUUCUUGAAGAAUAAAGGAUGACUUAGACGAUUCCAAAGGAAAAAAGAAAGGACUUAGACGAUUCCAAAAGAAAGAAGCGUGUGAAUCAACAAAGAAAGGCAAGACAAAUGAGCGCUUCACUUGCCAUGAAUGUGGUAAGCCAGGACACAUGAAGUAUCAGUGCCCCACUUACUUAAAAAUAGUUGAUUCAGAGAAGAGCACUCCCCGGGACUUCAAGUCAAAGAAAGCAUACAUCGCCUGGGAUGUACCGGAGGAAGAAACAACAUCAAGCACCUCGGAUGAAGAGGAGACCGCGAAGUUGUGCUUAAUGGCUAUAUCAGAUGAGGCUUGCGGAUUAGGUAGCAAGGAUACUUCAGAUGAGGUAUACUCUGAUACAUCAUUCUCUUCUUCUGAUUCUCCCUCAUAUGAAAUAUUAUAUAGUGCUUAUGAGAUGCAUGAAGAACUUAAAAAAUCAGCAAAGUUAAGUAACGAGAGAAAAAGAAUAAUUUUGCUAAACCAACAAAAAAUAAUUCAACUGCAGAAAGAAUUAGAUGAAUUAAAAUUGGAAACAGAAACAUUAGAUCUAAUUUUUUCCCGUGCUUCACGCGAUUGCUCGAAUAAUAACUUAUGUCAAAAUACUACCUGUGAGUCUUGCGAGGACUUGAAAAACGAAAAUUUUAAACUAAAUGAAAAACUCGCAAAACUCACAAAUAGUAAAAACCAAUUAGACACUUUGCUUAGCAAAACAAGGAACGUUAGUGAUCAUACUGGAUUAGGAUAUGUUCCCCCAUCCCAUAAAAAUAGACCAUAUAGGAGACCUCUAACACGCCAAUAUAGAAAUUCAAAUAAGAAAAAUAGAGUUCCCACAUACCAUUACUGUGGCACAUAUGGCCAUACAUCUAAUUCUUGUUACAUCAGGAAAUAUGGGAUACCCAGUGGCGUUUACACUUAGGUAAGAAAGGGAGAUAACUCCCUAGUCACUAACAAGAAAGGACCGAACAUAAUUUGGGUACCUGAGUCUAGCAGAUGAUCUAUAUUGCAGGUAUGUCUUCGAACACACGGACAAAAUUGGUAUCUUGAUAGCGGCUGUUCGAGACAUAUGACUGGGGACAAGUCGAAAUUCAUAGACUUGUCGUUGAAAGAAAAGGGAUUCGUCAGCUAUGAAGACAACAACAAAGGAAGAAUCUUGGGCACCGAGAAGAUUGGCAACGCAACCCACACAAUAAUCGAGAACGUUCUCUACAUAGAAGGUUUGGAACACAAUUUAUUGAGUAUAAGCCAAUUAUGCGACAAAGGUAAUACUGUGUCUUUUGAUUCUGACUGUUGUAUCAUUUGUGAUGUAUUAUCUAAUAACGUUAAGUCUGUCGGGUAUCGGGUAAAUAAUAUUUAUAUGGUUAAUCUGGAGGAUGUCACUUCUCUUUUCUCAAAAUGUCUUAUUUCAAAAGAAGAUGACAUCUGACUUUGGCAUAGACGCGUCGCUCACAUACAUGUGAAGCAUUUAUAAAAUUUAUCGAAAAAUAAUUUAGUAAUCGGUCUUCCAAAACUUGAUUUUAAAACUCAAGAUUCCUGUGACAUGUGUUAGAAAUGUAAACAAGUCAGGAAUUCAUUUAAUAAAAAGAAUGUGAUAUCCACUACUAGACCAUUGAAGAAUAUACCAUGCAAGUAGAAGAGUCUAUUCAUGUCCAUUUUGACGAAUUUUCUCCAAAAGAGAAGAGAAAGGUCUUUUCUGAUGAUGUUUCAGGUACACUUGAAGAAGUAUCAUACUAGGACAUGGAAGAAAUCCAACAAGAAGCAGAGCAAACACUAGCAGAACAACAUCAGGAAAUGCCUAUCGCGUGAAAAACUAAAAAGGAUCGUCCACUUGAUAAGGUGCUAGGUGAUAUAUCUACGGGAGUGAUAACCCGUAGCUCUUUACGAAACUUUUGCAAUUUUGUUGCAUUCGUGUCACAAUUAGAGCCUAAAACCAUCGAUGAAGCCAUCGAGGAUGUACACUGGGGUAUAGCUAUGCAAGAAGAGCUAAACCAGUUCGAGCGAAACAAUGUGUUGGACUUGGUCCCCAAACCAAAAUAUCAUCCCGUUAUUGGCACCAGAUGGGUCUUCCAAUAAGCUAGAUGAAUCUAGCUUAAUAAUUAGAAAUAAGGCUUGCCUAGUGGCCAAAGGCUACAACCAGAAGGAUGACAUCGAUUAUGAUGAGACCUACAUUCCUGUAGCCAAACUUGAGGCCAUUAGGAUGCUCUUGUCAUUUGCAUCAAUCAUGAACUUCACACUUUUUCAAAUGGAUGUUAAAAGUGCCUUUUUAAAUGGAUAUAUUCAAGAGGAAGUGUACGUAGACCAACCACAAGGGUUUGAAAACUUCAAAUACCCGAACCAUGUAUAUAAACUCAAGAAGACCCUCUAUGGCCUAAAGCAGGCUCCCAGAGCCUAGUACGAUAGAUUGAGUUCGUUCCUUCUAGAAAAAGGGUUCAAAAGAGGUUUGGUCGACACCACUCUAUUCACUCGUAGAUCUGAUAAUCAUUUUUUACUCGUACAAAUAUAUGUUGAUGAUAUUAUCUUUAGAUCUACUAAUGACAUCCUUUAUAAGGAGUUUUCUGAGUUGAUGCAGGGAGAGUUUGAGAUGUCGAUGAUGGGUGAGUUGACCUUCUUUCUUGGACUUCAAAUCAAACAAAUGGAAAGUGGCAUCUUCAUCCAUCAGUCGAAGUAUUACAAGGAAUUAUUGAAGAAUUUCGACAUGGAGCAGUGUAAGGAGGCAUCUACACCUAUGACAUCUGCAUGUUAUCUGGACAGAGAUGAAAAAGGAAGCGAUUGAGGUAAACAAAUAUCGUGGGAUAAUCGGCUCCUUAUUGUAUUUAACUGCUAGCCGCCCCGAUAUUAUGUUUAGUGUUUGUAUGUGUGCUAGGUUUCAAGCUUUGCCAAAAGAAUCGCAUUAUAUUGCUAUAAAAUGUAUCAUAAGAUAUCUAAAAGGAACUAUUCAUAUGAGAUUAUGGUAUCCUAGGGAUGCCUCCCUAUCCUUGGUAGGUUAUUCCGAUUCCGACUUCGCUGGGUGUAAGUUGGAUCAUAAAAGCACUAAAGUUGGAUCGUAAAAGUACUAGUGGGACUUGUCACCUAUUAGGCAGCUCCCUAGUUGCAUGGCACAGCAAAAAGCAAGCGUGCGUUGCUUUGUACAUCGCUGAAGCGGAAUACAUUGUCGCUGGCGUGUGUUGCGCUCAAAUCCUUUGGAUGAAGCAGUAACUUAAGGACUUUGGGCUCAUAUUAGAAAAUAUCCCUAUUUAAUGUGAUAACACGAGUGUCAUUAACCUCUCCAAGAAUCCUGUCUUACAUUCUAGAACUAAGCAUAUUUAAAUAAGACAUCAUUUCUUGUGUAAUCAUGUUCAAAAAGGUGAUUGUAUAGUAGAAUUUGUUGAAACAACUAAACAAUUGGCAGGUAUUUUCACCAAGCCCCUCUCACGAGAUACUUUCUAUGUUCUUCGAAGAGAACUAGGAAUCCUUGAUGAAAAAUAUCUUGAUUAAUAAUUUUUUGUGAUUGCCUUGCAUGAUCCCUUCGAAUGCCUUGUAAAUGAUGAUUGAAUGCUUAAAUAUAUGUGAUAGCUUAAAAUCAAAUUAUCCAAUUAAGUUUGAAAUCCAUGCAUGCUUUUAAAAACAUCCAAAAUGCUGAAACUGAUGCAUUUAAUCGAUUAAGUAAAUCGAUUACCUGGGCCAAAACUUUUAAAACUGGCAUUUUCAACUCAGGUUAAUUGAUUAAGAGAUGCUAUUAAUCGAUUAACGACAUCAAUAUAUUAGAAACAAAAGCGUUUCUGGACAUUUUUCAAAACCCCAUUCAUCCCCUUUUCUCUCAAAUCUUAGAGGAACAAGUCCAACAUCAUCCUAAGCUUCAUCCUAGCCCUAAACUGAAUCACCCCACUGCAUUUUCACUCCAUAAGCCGUCUUCCUCAUCUCCUAUUUCCAAGCAUUUCGUUUUCCCCAAAUUCAAAGCCUUACCUUAGGUUUCCCUCAAGCUUCCUCUAAACCUCCAUCACGAUUCAAUGUUUGAUUGCUAUGGAUAGAGGACGUGGAAAGAGAAUCAAGACAACCGCACAACGUCCACCGCAUGCUCCAAAAGUCGUGCCUCCUCCACAACCACGACAGAACCGCAGGGACCCAUACUACUCAUUAAUUCUACAAGAAACUCGGUUGUAGAAAUUUCAGGGAAGAAAACCCACUUGUAUUCGGUUUGCGAAUGUGACUUGGCUUGCGGAACAGAACUUCAAUUUUCCACAUGGCUUGCAAGCUCAAGGGGCUGUCCCCUUCUUGGAAUUGAAAUGUAAUAUUUACCCUGCUAUAGUUAGGGAGUAUUACGCGAAUUUUAGAUAUAAAGAUGAGAAAUAUUGGUCGAUGGUAACUGGAAAGUUGUUCGAAAUUAAUGAAGAAAUCUUUAUGAUUGUGGGUGAUUUAGCUUUUUCUGGUGCUAGUUUAAGCGAUUGUGGUUGGGCAAACGACAACUCAUUUGACGCUGUUGAAAUGUAUAAGUCGUGUUUGCUUAGACCUCAACUCUAUGUCCAAGGUGAAUUGACCAACUCUAUGAUAAAUUGGCCUGAUGAGAUUUUGAAGGUCAUGUAUAACGUCUCAGCCUCUCAAUCAAGACUACUUCUGUAUAGUAUCUUCAUAUCCCGAGUUAUUGACUAUCUACAUAUUGAUGUUUCAGAUACUAUAGUGAUUUACUGCUUAGACAAGGAUCACUUGAUUGGUGAGAGUUUAAUUCACAAGAUGGACAUCUACAAGAAUGGCAACACCUGACAAUAUAAAGAGGACUUCAACAAUGCUAACCUUGAUCCUUCUGGUGAAGAUGAUCAAGACAUGAACCAAGAGCCAUUUGCUACAACUCAGGGGGAGCAUUCAGGACAUGCAUCACAGGAACCUGCUUUUGGACAAGCUUAUAUGGAUGCUAUGGAACAACGUCUCAACAAUAGGAUGGACCUUCACUUUUAGUCUCUUAAGGAUUCAUAUCAUACGAAUUUGGAACAUUUUGAGGAACGUCAGAAUGCAUAUAUUGACAACCAUUACCAAUCCUUGCGGAAUUAUAUUUAGUCUACUAAUGAUUCUCAGAAUAGAAGAAUGGUUGCUGAGUUCAACAAGUUGAGUGUCUUCAUCAAGGGUGGUUGUAGUUCGUCGAUUCCUGAGAACCAGAAUCCUCUAUCUCAUCCUUAGAUAGGAAACCUUAGAGCCUUAGUUUAGUCUUCCUAGCUAAUGGACCUUGUUGAUCCUUGUUUACUCUUGAGAUCUUAUGUUUUGUAUUGCAUUGCAGUUUUUCUUUGGAUUAUAACAACUCUAUAUCUACUGCUGAACUACUGUUUUACAUUCUGUGGUAAAAUGAUUUCGAAUUAUCGCGUUUAUACUUGAUUGUUAAUUAUGUUGCAUAUAGCACAGUAGUUUGUUUGAAAUGAAUCUUGAUCAUGAUUGGUAUAUGUGAUUAUAUUGAAUGAUUGUGCCUAUUGCAAACUGCUCAAAUAUAUCAAAUGCUUAAUCAUUCCGUGCUUGAUUUGCUUCUGCAUAACCUUUCAUGUCAUUCAAACUGUUCCGUGGCUAUCUGCUGUCAAUUUAAUUGAUUAACGGUUUCACUUAAUCGAUUAAAUGAUGUAAAACUGUGAAUUUGUUCAAGCUUCUUACAGCUGGUUAAUUAGUUACAUAUCCAAGUUUAAUUGAUUAAUUACAGUCUGUCAUAAAUAACUCUCCUAACUUUUGACUAGAAUUGAAUACGUUUAUCUUUUUGAUAAUGUCAAAAGGGGGAGAAAGGUUGCUUGUUGUGUUACAUACAUUUUGCAGGUUGUAGAAUGUUUUUUGUAGGUUGUUCUAUCAAGCUUCCGUACAUAAUUCUGCUUACCUAUAAGGAAGCAAUGCACUUUAACUUUGUUCUUAGAAAAACAGCCUUAGUCAACCAUUAUGCAAAAUCAUUAUCAAGCUUAUCCAUCAACAAUUGAAUAAUUUUGAUGAAGUGUUUGUCAUCAUCAAAAAGGGGAGAUUGAAAGUGAAAAGUGUCAAGGAUAGUACUAGCAUGCCUUUGCCUAUGUUUUGAUGAAGACAAGGUUCUAAUAAAGCUUGAAGAUGGCUCAACAAUCAACAUGCCUUAUGCUCAUUUGGUCAUAUCUAGACUAGGAUGUAAAUUGAGUCUAAAAUCUAAGUAGUCUGGGAUGUAUGCAAUAGUAAGUGAGUAUAGGUUAGGUGAAUUAGUUUCUUAAGCCAUCUUAAUUGUCAUAUCAUAUUCAUGAGACAUAUCAUCUGGUUAAUUGUAUGUUCAUGCAUCUAUCAUACAUGUUAUAUGUGCAUAUUAGGCAUAAUAUAAUUGGUAAAAUAUGUAUAUAUAUUGUGCAUAACAUAUGAUAAGUUUACCAUUUGAAACAUAUGCAUAAAUGUUCCAGUUAAUUGAUUAACGUGGUAACUUAAUCGAUUAACUCAACUGUUUUUCUUUUAAAUUUGUGUUUUCUGUUUGAACUCAAUUCUGUGUCAUUUUGUUGCCCCGUUAAUCGAUUAAAGAGAAGCUUUAAUCGAUUAACUAGUCUGUUAUUUGUUAUAAUUGAAAUCUGUUUUAAUUGUUUAACUGUUUAACUGUUUUCCAACGAAUGUAACCGCCUAUUCUCUAUGCUAUAAAUACAAGGCAUUAUUCAGAAAACAACAACAUUGCAUUCUAUUGUAUACGGCUGUUUAGAGAGCAUUUUGUAUACAUGUUUUACUGUAUUUUUGCAAGAGAGUUGCAUGCGUGAGAAGAGAGAUUAUGCUGGUUUAAUUACUGUUAUAUGCUUACUAUUUUUGCAUGUAUUCAUUCUUAUCUUGCUCACAUGCUCAUGCAUUAGAUAUUGUUAGAGAAAAAUUAUCGGUAUACUGAUAUUGAUUAACUCAUUUGAAUCUUGAUGGCUUAAGAGGUUAGUAAAAGGGUUAAUCUUUGAGUCUUUAUCUUGUCAUAUUUUAAGCAUUAUUGUGCUUAGUAUACCUUGCUGUUUAACGUGUUUUUGUGUUGUCUGGAUUUGUCUCUUGGUGUGAGAUCACCACAGAGAUUGGGGUUCUUCACUAAGGCCUGAUUUGAGGAUAAGAAUCUUGGCUGGGCUAGUUCGUGAGAAAGGUUUUCUCAGAGGCGAAGGGUAGAGUCAAACUAAGAAUUUAGAGGUCCUAGAUUUCAAGAAGGGAGCGUCCUAUGUGCUUGUAAUUGAAUUGGUAUUUGUAUCCAUAUUUCAAUAUUGUGAAGAAAGAAAAUCUCCCUGAACCAGAAGGGGAGGCCUAGAUGUAGUUUGCAGUGGACCACAAACGAACCAGGAUAAAAAUCCUUUGUGCACUGUUCUUUCUCUCUUUAUCUUCUUUAUGUUUCUGGCCAUUAUAAAUUGAAUCUGUAAUUGAAAAGUUGGAUAUUUGUUUAUUAUCAUAUACUUAAUAAUGGUGCGUAAAAAUAUCUGUAUUAUAUCUGUUCAAAUUUGUUUUAAUUAUUGUGCAUAUUGCCUGUCUGAUUAUUCUGUUUUGUGCAAUAGUUAAUCGAUUAAACCUUGCUGUUAAUCGAUUAACUAGGCUGUUUCCAGCAGUUGGGUUUUGGUUCAAGAAGCGGUGAUUGAUAACCGCUACACCUAUUCAACCCCCCUUCUAGGUGUUCCUAGGUCACUGAUACCUAACAACCUUUCAUCUCAGACUCUACAUUCUCAAGAAAUCACACAUUUCUUGUUUUAAUAAAAAUUUUGAAGUGAAAUUAUAAAACUUACAACCUUACGAGUGCUCAUGAUAUCAAACAAAAUAACAAUGUUUCUGAAUUUGUAUUUCUUUCACGUGGCCUAUAAGACGUGCCUUAGCUAAACAACCAUAGACGUGCAAAGGGUCAUGGACAUUUUCUUGACCCAUCAUAUCUAUCAUAGUGUUUACUAUCUCAGUCAGAUUUGACAACCUUAAUUUUCUUUAUGAAUUGAAGUUUAACUUUAACCUUGAAAAAGUCCUAGAGAAAUGACUUGAAAAAGUACAACUUUAAUUGUAAGGAAAGGACCACAUGGAUUUGUAUGUAUAAGUUUUAAGAUAUUCUUAACUAUUUUGAAACCUAAUUUUGUUAUGUUUAUUUAUUUUCCAUCUAGCAUUUAACAUAAACUUCAAAGUCUGAAAAAUCCAACAUAUUAAAAUAUCAUUAGAUACAAGUUUUUGAAUUAUAUAUUUAGAUGUAUGAUCUAAAUGUUUAUGUCAUAGUAUAACUAAAUUCUAAUUUAGUUCUUAAUAACUAGAGUGAUAAAUAUAUGUCAUUUAUGUGUCAUGCAACAUACCUAUAACACUCUUUCUUUAUGUGUCAUGACUUCUUACAAAAUUUGCUCCUAAAUUUCUCAUUACUCUUUCGUUUCUUUUGCUUAGAAGACUCAUCCACAAUACUGUUAUUAUUCUUUCUUUUCUUAUCUUGAGAGGUUGUUGUUGUAAAAAAAUCUUUAAUAAUAGACUUUAAUUGGUGGGAGAUACUUUAUACUUAAAGAUACAUAAUAUAUACUAAAGAUGAUGAACACUAUCAUCAUAUAUAGCCAAGAUCUUUCAUGUCAAAUCAUCAAGAAGAAUAUAGAUAAAACUAAAGCGGAAACGUACCUUAAUAUAUUCAUAGAGAAUAUGGUGAAAGAACUUUAUGUCAUCCUCCUUUAUCAUGUAUCGUUCAACUUCAUAUCAUUUAUCCUUAUAUGCAAAUACAUGCUCAUAGUAGAGCAUGUGGGUUCCAAUUGUAGAUCACCAUUAGUCUUUAGUUCAUCUUCUAAUAGGAUGAAGAGAAUAAAAUUGAUUUUGUUAUAUCUAUAAUUGGGGACCAUAACCCCUUAUUUAUAAGGAAGUGCAUACCCUUCCAUGAAGGGUGAUGCUACUUGAUUUUCUUAUUCCAAUUUUGCCCAUCAUAAAAUAGAAAUAAGACUUUAGAUAUCUACACAAUAAUUUUCAUGACAAUUAUAUCUAUAGUCAUAUACCUUACUUGAAUGGGACCACAUCUACUGUCUCACUUUGUGUACCAUUCCAUGUACCAUCAACUCUGAUUGGUUGAAAAAAAUUAUUUAAGUUAAAAUUUUAAUUAUUAAAUAUUUUUCUAGCCAAUCACAUCUUUUGACACAUGGAGUGACACAAAGCUGCGGGACAACAGAUGUGCUCCCUACUUGAAUUAGAUUACUUUAAUUUGGCUACAUAAGAUAAUGACUCUAAACACAUUUAAACAUUACAUGUGUGACCUAAAAUGCCUUACAAUUGUAGCCAAAUGAACAACUUUAGUCUUGCCCUCUGCAUGCUUUCUUCAUCGUGUAUAUAGUGAGAUAUAAGCUCACUAAGGGACCAUUUAUCAAUCUGAGUGUUAUAUCCCACUUUCAGUUGUAAAAGUAUUAAAAUCAUGUACAAGAGCAAGUUCUAACCAAGUUAUAACUUGAGUGGCUUAAGUUUUAAUAUGUAAUUAGAUAUGUCCACAAUGUGCUCUUUUGUGUUCUAUUUGCCUUUAUACCUUCAUGAAAAUGAAUUUAACUAACAAAUUAUUUAUCCAUGCCUUGUCAUUUUUCAAAAGUAUUGCUCCAUUUCUUCAAAUAAUUUCUUUGCACUUUAACCCUAAAAAUAUAGUCUUAGAAUGCGUCUAGAAUAGAGCCCUUCAUAAUCAUUAGACACAAUGAAUUAGAAGUUUCUCAUUUCUCAAUUAUAACCUCGUCAAUGUUAUAUUUAGUAGGAGUGAGUUUAUCUGUUUGAAAUGCUAAAUCUAAAUUCUAAGAAAUAUGGGUUAUCAAAAUGGCUUCCUUCUAGGCCGAAACAUUUGUCUCAUCCAACAUUGAGAUACUAUUGUGUUAGAAGAUAUUAAUUGUAUAUUAAUUAAAUACCAAAUGAAUAACAACUUCCUAACAAAGCCAAUUGGGUGACAUCAAGUUUAGUCUUUAAACAGAGAGUCGAUUUACAAGUGAUCAAUGAGUCAUAGUAAUUGAGUUUGAUAACCAAAUAUAUAAAGCUUUCCUUUGGGCUUGCUAAGUGGUAGCGACAAACACCUUACGACCAUCACAACUCAACACUACUUAUGUAUGCUAAUUCCUAUCAGACAAUUGUUUUCCUUUAUAUCGAUAUAUACAUUGAAAUAAACAUACAUAAACACCUUAGUAAGUCAUAAGCAAUUAAAAAAUCGCUAGAGUAUAUGUCAUUUUGGCAACUAUACUCUUUUAACCAAUCGAAAUAAAAACAAUACAAACUCAGUAUGAACAAAUUAUUCUAUUAUUUAAUCACAUUAACAUGCAAUAGUACGCAAGAAGUCAUAUAGUGUAUAUGACAAAACAUGUAUAAAUAAUUCAAACAAUAGACCUCCAAUUUAUUACUUAUAUAGUUUUUUCCUU